GUAUUUUCAGGUGUGGUGUUCGAUGGUGUGUGUGUGCUCUAUGAAAUUUGCCAGGAUGCCCUUCUAGGCUGGGAGUUCUGACCACAUUCCGGUCUGGCUGUUGUUUCAUUUCACUAAACUCAUCGUCAACUCUCUCUCUAUUCUUCUUGGAGCUGUUGCCACCCCUCCUUUCUGGUGCUACUUUCACAAGUUUUACUACCUUUUAAUUUUAUUUAUUUUGUCAUCCAAGGCCCUGAGCCUUACCCACAGGAGUAGUCCCACUUAACUCAAUGGAAUUACUUGGGUGUAAAGCAACUCGCAGUCUUGUUUGCAGGGUCAGGGCCUUAGUCUGGGGCUAUAAAUGUUGGUAACAUUCUCUAAAGGUAUCACUGGAAAAAUGUAGGAGGGAGGUAUUUACGAAACUGUCUGCGAUGUUCUGUCACUCAAGAGAAGUUGCCAGUGGAGCUGGAACAAGUUCUAAAAUGGGGGUGCUGAAGGCAGAAACCAUGUCUACUGGGUUGUUAUUACUACUUUACACCAGAACCCCCGGCACCUAUGGCAGUUGCAGUCCGUUGGAUUGUCCUUGUUUACCACCCAGGAUUCAUUCUGGAUUAGCUAGGCAGCAGAGCAUUGUCUGUGGCACCGCCUCCUUUAAGGACGCCCAUCAGGCGCCGUCUGUUUUCAGAACUGCCUGGAAAUGCCUUUCCAUUUGAUUCAGUUUCUCCAUCUAAUGUCCCUUCUUCCUCUGGAUUACGCUGCUGUGGAGGGGGGAUGAGUGGAAGUCUGGAUACAAUGUUUAAGUAAACUGGGACACUGGGGCAGAUUUGUGGUUUUUAACUAAAUUGCUGUACAGCCCCCAGGUGUCUUUUCUGCAAUGGAGGCUUAAUGUAUUACUUAAAUAAAUAAAAUACCCUCCUGAUCCCGUGUUAGGGCUCCAUAUUCCAAGGGCGCUGAAGGUUGUGAGCUUUAGUUUAACACAUGUAAAGCACAUUAUGAGCCUUAGAUGUGGAAUGUUGUAGAAAUGCUGAACAUUAUCUGCCCUCUGAAUUGUGGUGAUGUUGUUAUCGCCCAGUUCUUUACUUAUUAGCCAGACUAAUACACACUGUGGCCUGUCUCUCUCUCUCUCCAUCUGCUCUGACUUUAGUUUAUUCACUGGUCUGUAGGUAUUGUUCAGUAUUCCAGUCUUUUAGUUAACAAUUCCUGGGGAAAGUUUCCCUUUGAUGGUUCUCUUUUUCAUUUUCUAGGUCUCCUCAAUAGUCAGGUGCUAUGCAUAUGUUUCCAGUAUACUUUAACCAUUUGCUGUAUUUCAUCUCCAUGGUGUCCAGGCCAAAUUCCAACCCUGGGAUAGCUGAAUGCUCGAAGCAUCAGGUCUGAAAUUCCUCGGCUUCUCAAAAUCUAAUCCUGGCUGGAUUGACUCAACCCCUUCAUUCUCUGAGGAUCACGAGAAAAGGAGGCUGCUGUUAGCUAUCAUUCCCUCCUCCUGAAGACCAAGAAAGGAGCUGGCUCCCCACCAUAAUCCUGCCCCAACACUUCUCCAAGAGAAACUUGCUCUCUCAUGUGCACAACCUGAAUCUGCUGGAGCAGAGAUGGAAUAAUAUGAUUUGUACACAUCAGGUGGCUGGAAAAGAAUUGUCACCCCGGUGUGUUUGGUCUGCUUUAGCUAGUCUAAAUGGAAGGCUUUCCUGAUAAUUCUUGACCCUACUACCCUGUUAAAUAUGCAAUGUUUCUGAUCUGACUAAAUUAGUCCUAAACCUGAAGUCCUUUAGGAUGGACAUUAAUGCUGCGAUAGGCUGUUCAAGAGAAGACAGAAAAACCAAACCUUCAGAGCACUAGCACUACACGUCUGCUUACCAAUAUCCUCUGUGGGGUAUUCCUUCUGUUAAG